AUGGCAUCUUCCUCUUCUAUGCUUCUCCUUGCCGCCCUUCUUGCAUCCAUCUCAUGGCAGGCCAUUGCCUCCGACCCUAGCCCACUCCAGGACUUUUGUGUCGCCGACAUGCAUUCACCAGUGCGUGUCAAUGGGUUUGUUUGCAAGAACCCGAUGGAAGUCAAUGCGGAUGACUUCUUCAAGGCAGCCGCUCUGGACAAGCCUAGGGUCACCAAUAAGGUUGGAUCCAAUGUCACCUUGAUCAAUGUCAUGCAGAUUGCUGGACUCAACACUCUCGGCAUCUCAAUCGCGCGCAUCGACUAUGCUCCCCUAGGCCAGAACCCACCACAUACGCACCCACGCGCCACUGAGAUCCUCACAGUACUCGAGGGGACAUUGUAUGUUGGCUUUGUGACAUCCAACCAGGAGAACAAGUUCCUUUCAAAGGUGCUUAACAAAGGUGAUGUGUUUGUGUUCCCUGUGGGGCUCAUCCACUUCCAAUUCAACCCCAACCCCUACAAGCCAGCUGUUGCAAUUGCCGCGCUCAGCAGCCAGAACCCAGGGGCUAUCACAAUUGCCAAUGCAGUGUUUGGGUCGAAGCCAGCAAUAUCAGAUGAUGUUCUUGCCAAGGCAUUUCAUGUGGAAAAGAAUACAAUAGACUAUCUCCAGGCUCAAUUCUGGGAGAACAAUCAGUACUAA
rnacentral:rRNA from 1 species